UACGAAGGGUGCAAGCGUUACUCGGAAUUACUGGGCGUAAAGCGUGCGUAGGUGGUUUGUUAAGUCUGAUGUGAAAGCCCUGGGCUCAACCUGGGAAUUGCAUUGGAUACUGGCAGGCUAGAGUGCGGUAGAGGAUGGCGGAAUUCCCGGUGUAGAGGUGAAAUUCGUAGAUAUCGAGAGGAACACCGGUGGCGAAGGCGGCCAACUGGACGAUUACUGACGCUGAGACUCGAAAGCGUGGGGAGCAAACAGG
rnacentral:rRNA from 1 species